CCUUUUGUACCCUGCUCCAGCUGAAAGUCAAGUCUGGUACAAACCAAUGGGGUUCUGCUGCAAGGAACUUGAGGGUAUUCUCGUCCUCGAUGUGUAGGAUGAACAGGCUCUGGCCAAUCUGGAGGUUUUCCUUUAAGUUGAUUCAGGAAUAAAGGACCAGACCAUAUGAAGGCUUCUGGGUAGCAUGGAAAGGCUUCAAUUUGUUCUUAGUGACUUGUCCUGUACUACACUCCCAGCUGGUUUGAAGGAAACCGCAGCCGUUACUAAGUUUGUCUGAUGCCCCCACCCAAAUACCACGCAUACCCAUACCGUCAUGUGCUCAUGCAAAGCAGCAUUUGUGAGCAGUCUCGACUCGGUUUCAGUCAUGGAUUUCACAAAAGGAACACUGUAAAAUUGAAUUUGAACUCCACAGCUCCCAGGAUAGGGCAGAGCUGGAUGGAAACAUCUGGAGACAUAUUCGGGAGUAGGGCUCACCGUGUUCCUUGAGAGGAAAUUGAGGCCGAAAAAUUGAGUGACACCCAGGCACUCAUCCAGCCAGUUGAUACAAGUCUAGAACCUUCUGCCUGCCUUCCGACUUCCAACCACUGCUCUUUCCAGCCCAGGCUGUCAUCACACGGUACAUUUUGCUUCCUCUUCAGAAUAUGGCCCCUCACAACCUUUCCAGGAACUGGACCUUCGGACCUAAAAAUGAUUUAAUGCACACUUUUCGGAAGGGAGAGCCACAAGGCCUCUAAGUGGUUUUGAUCAAGUUUGCCAACAUGUACACCGUUGGAUAAUCUGCAUAAACGUCAUAAAUAAUGUAAAUUCCUACCAAAUGAGUUAACCGUGAGCUACAGGGCUCUUUCGAAAAAUCCAUGUUAUGCCAUCCUCCUGACCAAGUUAACAACUCGAUGGAGCAGCGAAGGUCACCGCUGGUUGCAGUCCUGCUAUUGACCAUGCUAAGUGUGACUAUUUUUAAAAUACUGUAUGCCUCAUUAAGCCGUGCUCCGAAAAUGAGAAAUUUGCUUUAACUGCAUUGUUUUGAAUUGCUGAGAGAAGAAUCUAUCAGCCACAAGGUGCCCUGCUGCUGAACUCAGCCAAAAAGCUGUUAAUAACCCCAGCAGAUGUUUCAGCUUUUUAGGCCAAUAGACUCCCUCUCUCCCUGCCCUCCCCUUUCUAGAAUCUGAUGCCAAUAGGACUGAACUCCAGUUUCUGUGGCUGCUGCCGCUGUGGCCGCCACCACCAGAGUCCACUUGAUACUAGAGCUGCCGCCGAGGAAUUGAUUCUUUAAACAACCAGCCGUUGGCUCCAGGCCUCUGAGGUCAGAGCAUUAUUGCUUUUACCCACAGAAGUUUAAAUCUUCAGGGGGGGAAUGAAGGCAGAAUAUCCAAGACUCUGUGGACCUCUAUUGUCAGCUUCAGCGUUCGCCAACCUUAGUAUUUCAACCCCAAAGUCUCCGCUCUAUGCCAUGCAGGCUAUAAAAAACCAAGCACGACACUGAGAAUUCAACUCAAGGGUUCAAUGGCAUCGCUGUCUACUAAUUCUGAAAGCGGAAAGGGAUGAACAUAUCUGUACACGGAGAGGAACAGCCAAUGGAGAUGGGAGGAAAGUAAAGCACAUUUUCUCAGGAGGCAAGGUGGAAUGAUAUCCAUAGCACCAGCGGACAGAGUUGCCUUUGACAGGAAAAGUGCCUUUUGCCAGCGAGCAGUACUCAAGGAAUGUUUACAGCUAAGGAGGCUCCAUGGAGGAUUGCUUGAAGGACAUGAAGUCCAUCUGUCUCCCUAGAUGGUUUAGAUUAUAUCUCAAGGUCAAGAACAACUUCAAGCGUAGAAAAAUGGCUGGAAUAAAACAACAGCAGAUUGCGUUUUUGUGUGCUGAACUCGAAGCAGGAAUCUGGUGGGUGAUGUGUUGGAAGUCAAGCUGGAAAAGGGUCGCUUACAAAUAAAAUGCCGCGAAGGGCUACCGAAAAGGUUAAGAACCUUGUACUGAUGACAAAUGAUUGAACAGUUUUUGCAUGAGCAACAUCGUUCACUCUAGUCUGGAGUUUUACCAAGCUGGACUAAAAAUUCUGACUUCAGCGGGGCGCCCAGGAAGCUCAGUUGGUUAACUCUCCGACUUAGGCUCUGGUCACGAUCUCACGGUUGCAUGGCUGGCAAAGAACUCAGAACUCCAAGUGGCAGAUUCGAUCUUGAUUUUCACCUGCGAGUGCAUUAUUGGAUUUAUCUCAAUCUUUGAUUUCUUGGAAGGAAUCUUUUUAAGCCACUUGUUUUCCAAAUAAGAGAGCUAAUUGGGCAAAGCCAGAGAAGACACUUUAUGGAAGGUAUAUCAACACCCUGCUCCUGAAAGAACCGGGAGGGGGGGGUGCCACCUUCACCCCUCUGCCCCUGACUCUCCUGUAAGUGCUCCUCAGAUAGAGUACUUGGCAUGUGACUGCUUUCCUAGGCACCACGUAAGGUACCAGGGUAGACGAGUAUAAUAAACAUUUAGAACGCC